rnacentral:rRNA from 1 species
UACGUAGGGUGCAAGCGUUAAUCGGAAUUACUGGGCGUAAAGCGUGCGUAGGCGGUUGGCAAAGUCAGCUGUGAAAGCCCCGGGCUCAACCUGGGAACUGCAUUGGAAACUAACGGGUUCGAGUGUGGCAGAGGGGGGUGGAAUUCCACGUGUAGCAGUGAAAUGCGUAGAGAUGUGGAGGAACACCGAUGGCGAAGGCAGCCCCCUGGGCUAACACUGACGCUCAGGCACGAAAGCGUGGGGAGCAAACAGG